rnacentral:rRNA from 1 species
UACCAGCUCUCCGAGUGGUAGGGAUGAUUAUUGGGCUUAAAGCGUCCGUAGCCGGCUUAGCAAGUUUCCUGUUAAGUUCAGCGACCUAAUCGUUGAGCCGCGGGAAAUACUACUAGGCUAGGAGGCGGGAGAGGUCGACGGUACUUCUGGGGUAGGGGUGAAAUCCUAUAAUCCCGGGAGGACCACCAGUGGCGAAGGCUGUCGACUAGAACGCGCUCGACGGUGAGGGACGAAAGCUGGGGGAGCGAACCGGAUUAGAUACCCGGGUAGUCCCAGCUGCAAACGAUGCGGGCUAGGUGUUGGGGUGGCUACGUGCCACUUCAGUGCCGCAGGGAAGCCAUUAAGCCCGCCGCCUGGGGAGUACGGCCGCAAGGCUGAAACUUAAAGGAAUUGGCGGGGGAGCACCACAAGGCGUGAAGCUUGCGGUUC